CCUACGGGAGGCAGCAGUGAGGAAUAUUGGUCAAUGGACGCAAGUCUGAACCAGCAAUGCCGCGUGCCGGAAGACGGCGCUAUGAGUUGUAAACUGCUUUUGUACGAGGAUAAACGCAGAUACGCGUCUCUGUCUGAAAGUACCGUACGAAAAAGGAUCGGCUAACUCCGUGCCAGCAGCCGCGGUAAUACGGAGGAUUCCAGCGUUAUCCGGAUUUAUUGGGUUUAAAGGGUGCGUAGGCGGUCGGAUAAGUUAGAGGUGAAAUCCCGCGGGUCAAAGUCGGAAUUGCCGCUGAUACUGGUCGGCUAGAGAGUAGUGGCGGUAGGCGGAAUGUAUGGUGGAGCGGUGAAAUGCUUAGAGAUCGCACAGAACACCGAUUGCGAAGGCAGCUUACCAAGCUACGUCUGACGUUGAGGCACGAAAGCGUGGGGAGCAAACAGGAUUAGAUACCCGAGUAGUC
rnacentral:rRNA from 1 species